GUCUACGGCCAUACCACCCAGAACGCACCCGAUCUCGUCUGAUCUCAGAAGCUAAGCAGGGUCGGGCCCGGUUACUACUUGGAUGGGAGACCGCCUGGGAAUACCGGGUGCCGUAGGCC
rnacentral:rRNA from 1 species